GACACACAUUUGACAAGGUUUUUAUAGGGCAUUUCCAGGGGUAGUUUUCUGACCCACGUGGUUGUUUGACGCUUCCUCUGUACCAUGAACCUAAAAAAGACACACAUUUGACAUGGUUUUUGUAGGAGUUAAGGGCAUUUCCAGGGGUAGUUUUCUGACCCAGGUGGUAGUUUGACUCUUCCUCUGUACCAUGAACCUAAAAAAGACACACAUUUGACAUGGUUUUUGUAGGAGUUAAGGGCAUUUCCAGGGGUAGUUUUCUGACCCUGGUGGUAGUCUGACUCUUCCUCUGUACCAUGAACCUAAAAAAGACACACAUUUGACAAGGUUUUCAUAGGAGUUACGGGCAUUUCCAGGGGUAGUUUUCUGACCCAGGUGGUAGUUUGACUCUUCCUCUGUACCAUGAACCUAAAAAAGACACACAUUUGACAAGGUUUUUAUAGGAGUUAAGGGCAUUUCCAGGGGUAGUUUUCUGACCCUGGUGGUAGUUUGACUCUUCCUCUGUACCAUGAACCUAAAAAAGACACACAUUUGACAAGGUUUUCAUAGGAGUUACGGGCAUUUCCAGGGGUAGUUUUCUGACCCAGGUGGUAGUUUGACUCUUCCUCUGUACCAUGAACCUAAAAAGACACAUUUCACAAGGUUUUCAUAGGAGUUACGGGCAUUUCCAGGGUUAGUUUGCUGACCCAGGUGGUAGUCUGACUCUUCCUCCGUACCAUGAACCUAAAAAGACACAUUUCACAAGGUUUUCAUAGGAGUUACGGGCAUUUCCAGGGGUAGUUUUCUGACCCUGGUGUUAGUUUGACGCCUUUUCUGUACCAUGAACCUAAAAAGACACGUAUUUGACAAGGCUUUCAUAGGAGUUACGGGCAUUUCCAUGGGUAGUUUUCUGACCCACGUGGUUGUUUGACGCUUCUUCUGUACCAUGAACCUAAAAAAGACACAUAUUUGACAAGGCUUUCAUAGGAGUUGUGGGCAUUUCCAGGGUUAGUUUGCUGACCCAGGUGGUAGUCUGACUCUUCCUCCGUACCAUGAACCUAAAAAAGACACAUAUUUGACAAGGCUUUCAUAGGAGUUACGGGCAUUUCCAUGGGUAGUUUGCUGACCCAGGUGGUAGUCUGACUCUUCCUCCGUACCAUGAACCUAAAAAAGACACAUAUUUGACAAGGCUUUCAUAGGAGUUACGGGCAUUUCCAUGGGUAGUUUUCUGACCCACGUGGUACUCUGACUCUUCCUCUGUACCAUGAACUUAAAAAAGACACAUAUUUGACAAGGCUUUCAUAGGAGUUACGGGCAUUUCCAUGGGUAGUUUGCUGACCCAGGUGGUAGUCUGACUCUUCCUCUGUAUCAAUUAGUCAACUUUAACUUCAGCGACUGUGUUCUUGGAGUGGAGCACCGGUGGGCAGGAUGGGCCAAGCAAAGAGUCAUACAUCACGGCACCCACUAUAAAUAAAAUCCGCCUGCGCCACUAACGGACAGCACCAAAAAAAAAAAAAAAAAAAAAAUCAUUAAGACCCGCGUAAAUCUCCUUUUUUGGCUUUUUGUAAAUAGUUGAUGUGAGAGAUGGAGGCGUCUGACAGUAGGCCUAUCUUUUUCUUCCCCUUUGAACCACUUGAGUUAAUUGCAGGUAAUCAGGUGUUUGCUUUUUGCUCAUAUACGAAUGUUGUGUUUGUUGUAGUUGUAAGUUCUCUCUCUCUCUCUCUCUCUCUCUCUCUCUCUCUCUCUCUCUCUCUCUCUCUCUCUC